AUAUGCACCCUGUAGAAUCGAAU
rnacentral:miRNA from 1 species